rnacentral:SRP_RNA from 1 species
GCCUGGCACAGUGGCACGUGCCUGUAGUCCCAGCUACUAGAGAGGCUGAGGCUGGAGGAUCACUUGAGCCCAGGAGUUCUGGGCUGUAGUGCGCUAUGCCGAUUGGGUGUCUGCACUAAGUUCGGCAUCAAUAUGGUGACCUCCCAGGAGUGGGGAACCACCAGGUUGCCUAAGGAAGGGUGAGCUGGCCCAGGUCGGAAACAGAGCAGGUCAAAACUCCCAUGCUGAUCAGUAGUGGGAUCACGCCUGUGAGUAGCCAGUGCACUCCAGUUGGGCAACAUAGCAAGACCCUGUCUCUU